UCAGUCUAUUUUAAUCAUCCU
rnacentral:piRNA from 1 species